rnacentral:lncRNA from 1 species
UCUUUCCCCACGUUUAUUGUAUAUUGUCGAACUUUUGCUAUGUUUGGGGCCUAUUUGACUCGAACUAUUAAGCCCGAGGGGUUUUUAACCUGGUGCCCUAAGGUCGUCUGGCUUGGGAGUCACCGGCCCAACGUUCGCUACGGGGGUCAUUUCUGUCGCCUAAUGAGGAUAGCAUUGCACUUAAGUUCGCUUGUUUUUAAAAAAAAAAUGAGAUCAUUAAGUUAGGGAGAG